CAUAGCCCGAUAGCGAUGCGAUUUUCGAACCAAUACGCACAAUCAGGGAGACACCCUGUAAUUGGCGUUGUGCAAGCCUGCCUGACAGGAAGCCUGAACCAAUUCAUUCGUCUCCCACCUGAACCUCAGGGUUCAAAAUCCAGAGCUAUUGGGUUAUAU
rnacentral:other from 1 species